UCUCCGUUGGUGAACCAGCGGAGGGAUCAUUACAGGAUCGAAAGACUCCUAUAACCCCUGUGCACUUACUUCAAAUACGUUGCUUCGGCGGGUGCCCCGGGUCUCCCGGGGCGUUCAGCCCGCCGGCAGCCUUCAAAUUCUGUUUCUUUGCGUUGGCAUCUCGGGUAUACAAAAAUAAGUUAAAACUUUCAACAACGGAUCUCUUGGUUCUG
rnacentral:misc_RNA from 1 species